rnacentral:rRNA from 1 species
AUUGAACGCUGGCGGCAGGCCUAACACAUGCAAGUCGAGCGAGCGGCGGACGGGUGAGUAAUGUAUGGGGACUGCCCGAUAGAGGGGGAUAACUACUGGAAACGGUAGCUAAUACCGCAUACUAUCGGAUAACCCAUAUGGGAUUAGCUAUUAGGUGAGGUAAUGGCUCACCUAGGCGACGAUCCCUAGCUGGUCUUAGAGGAUGAUCAGCCACACUGGGACUGAGACACGGCCCAGACUCGUACGGAGGCAGCAGUGGGGAAUAUUGCACAAUGGGCGCAAGCAUGAUGCAGCAAUGCCGCGUGUAUGAAGAAGGCCCUAGGGUUGUAAAGUACUUUCAGUCGGGAGGAGUUAAAGAAAGAAGAAGCACCGGCUAACUCCGUGCCAGCAGACGCGGUAAGUG